rnacentral:rRNA from 1 species
GAAUUUUUCGCAAUGGGGGCAACCCUGACGAAGCAACGCCGCGUGGAUGAUGAAGUAUCUCGGUACGUCAAAUCCUUUCGACAGGGAAGAAACCGCAAGGUUGACGGUACCUGUAGAAGAAGCCCCGGCUAACCCCGUGCCAGCAGCCGCGGUAAUACGGGGGGGGCUAGCGUUGUUCGGAAUUACUGGGCGUAAAGGGCGCGUAGGCGGUCUGCUAAGUUGGAUGUGAAAACUCUGGGCUUAACCCAGAGCCUGCAUUCAAUACUGACAGGCUAGAGUUCUGGAGGGGAUAGCGGAUUUCCUGGUGUAGCGGUGAAAUGCGUAGAUAUCAGGAGGAACACCGGUGGCGAAGGCGGCUAUCUGGACAGAGUCUGACGCUGAGGCGCGAAAGCUAGGGGAGCAAACAGG